UACGAAGGGGGCUAGCGUUGCUCGGAAUCACUGGGCGUAAAGCGCACGUAGGCGGAUUGCUAAGUCAGGGGUGAAAUCCUGGAGCUCAACUCCAGAACUGCCUUUGAUACUGGAGACCUUGAGUCCGGGAGAGGUGAGUGGAAUUGCGAGUGUAGAGGUGAAAUUCGUAGAUAUUCGCAAGAACACCAGUGGCGAAGGCGGCUCACUGGCCCGGAACUGACGCUGAGACGCGAAAGCGUGGGGAGCAAACAGG
rnacentral:rRNA from 1 species